AACGAACGCUGGCGGCAGGCUUAACACAUGCAAGUCGAGCGCCCCGCGAGGGGAGCGGCAGACGGGUGAGUAACGCGUGGGAAUCUACCCAUCUCUACGGAAUAACGCAUGGAAACGUGUGCUAAUACCGCAUACGUCCUUCGGGAGAAAGAUUUAUCGGAGAUGGAUGAGCCCGCGUUGGAUUAGCUAGUUGGUGGGGUAAAGGCCUACCAAGGCGACGAUCCAUAGCUGGUCUGAGAGGAUGAUCAGCCACACUGGGACUGAGACACGGCCCAGACUCCUACGGGAGGCAGCAGUGGGGAAUAUUGGACAAUGGGCGCAAGCCUGAUCCAGCCAUGCCGCGUGAGUGAUGAAGGCCCUAGGGUUGUAAAGCUCUUUCACCGGUGAAGAUAAUGACGGUAACCGGAGAAGAAGCCCCGGCUAACUUCGUGCCAGCCGCCGCAGUAAUAC
rnacentral:rRNA from 1 species